GAUGAACGCUGGCGGCGUGCCUAACACAUGCAAGUCGAACGAAAAGACGAUGAGCUUUUGCUGUUAACGGUGGCGACGGGCGGGUGAGUAACGAGUAGAUCGCCUUCUAAUAUGUCUGGGAGAAUUACGGGGGACCGGAUAAAAUAAUAGCGCAUAUGAUGAACCGGUGGGUGCAUUGGAUAAUGACGGCUUUCGUGAUUGUAUUAGCUGGUUUCGCGCCGGAUUAGCUGGUUGGUAAGGUAACGGCCUACCAAGGAAACGAUGCGUAGCCGAGCUGAGAGGGUGAUCGGCCACACUGGAACUGAGACACGGUCCAGACUCCUACGGGAGGCAGCAGUAGGGAAUCUUCGGCAAUGGGCGAAAGCCUGACGCAGCCACGCCGCGUGAGUGAUGAAGGCCUUCGGAUCGUAAAGCUCUGUUAUUGGGGAAGAACAACUGUGUGUGUAUAUCUAGCCGUCUUGACGGUACCUAAACAAAAAGCCCCGGCUAACUACGUG
rnacentral:rRNA from 1 species